CUACCAAUUCUAGCCCACUCUCUGCCAGAUCUCUCGGUGCUCUCGGUGCUCUCACUAGCACACUAGCACUCCCCCCAAACCCAACUCUCUCUCAGCCCCUCUCUGCACACAGCAACAAGCUGUGUGCUCCGGUAAUCCUCCAAGGAUUACAUCUUGCCCACUGCUUUUCUCUGAUCUGGAAAUCCUUCUGAAUUUAUAAGCAGUAGAGAAGAGGAUAUGAGCUCAUGGCUGAGCUCAUACAUGCCUCCAUUUGAGACUUCUGGGGAAGGAGGAGCCUCCAUCUUGGACUCCUUCGGCAGCUCUUGUUGACAGAAACUGACAGCUUCUCUCUCUUCCUUCUCUUCUCCUCUUCUCUUCUCUUCU
rnacentral:lncRNA from 1 species